rnacentral:tRNA from 1 species
ACCUGGGUGGCUUAGUCAGGUAAGCAUCUGACUUCAGCUCAGGUUAUGAUCUCAUGGUUUGUGGGUUCGAGCCCCACGUCGGGCU